CCGACAUUGGAUUAUUAGUCGACAUGUUGGCUGAACAGGCUACCGGAGGAACCGUGGGACCACCCUUUGAGAGUGAUUCAUUCACAGUACCAGCCAUUGGGACUGAUCCAGUAUCGAUUCCCGGCGUAUCUAGCUUACCUCGGAGUGACAGACCUGCAGGACCAGCCACCGGGGC